rnacentral:hammerhead_ribozyme from 1 species
ACACUGCUGAGGAGUCCCACAAUAGGACAAAACAGCCGUCCAGUGC